GACGAACGCUGGCGGUGUGCUUAACACAUGCAAGUCGAACGGUAAGGCCCUUUCGGGGGUACACGAGUGGCGAACGGGUGAGUAACACGUGAGUAACCUGCCCUCAUCUCUGGGAUAACAGUCGGAAACGAUUGCUAAUACUGGAUAUGAGCCUGCAAGGCAUCUUGUGGGUUGGAAAGAUUUUUUGGUUGGGGAUGGACUCGCGGCCUAUCAGCUUGUUGGUGAGGUAGUGGCUCACCAAGGCUUCGACGGGUAGCCGGCCUGAGAGGGCGACCGGCCACAUUGGGACUGAGAUACGGCCCAAACUCCUACGGGAGGCAGCAGUGGGGAAUAUUGCACAAUGGACGGAAGUCUGAUGCAGCAACGCCGCGGGCGGGAUGACGGCCUUCGGGUUGUAAACCGCUUUCAAUUGUGACGAAGCUUUUUGUGACGGUAACAGUAGAAGAAGCACCGGCUAACUACGUG
rnacentral:rRNA from 1 species